UCCGGGGGGAGGGAGGUUCGACUCGAGCGAAGCGAGAGAACGUUGCGCCAGCAACGGCCCGCAGGGCGAGCCACGAAGUGGCGAGUAAUCCUCUAUCACCGACCA
rnacentral:sRNA from 1 species